CUCUACUCUUAGAGGCCAUUCAUUGGAUUCUGAAUCUAUAUAGUGUUUUUUAAGGUGUUGCUGUUUAUGUGGAUUUCAGAUAAGCAACGAUGUGCUGAGCUGAAGAAAGCCUUGUGUACUGCCCAUGAGAAGUUCUGUUUCUGGCCAGACAGCCCAUCCCCAGACCGAUUUGGGAUGUUGCCCCUGGAAGAGCCUGCUAUUCUUGUUAGUGAAUUCCUAGAUCGUUUUCAAAGCCUUUGUCACUUGGACCUCCAGCUUCCUUCCCUAAGGCCGGAGGACUUGAAAACUAUGUGCUUGACAGAAGACAAGAUCAGUCUUCUCCUACACCUGCUUGAAGAUGAACUUGAUCACCGAACUGACGAGAGAAAAACUACAACCAAAUUAGGCUCAGACAUCCAAGUCCACGUCACUGCCUGUAUUCUCUCCGUGUGUGGCUGGGCAUGUAGUUCCUCUUUGGAACCCAUGCAGCUCUCCCUGAUAACAUGUUCGCAGUGUAUGAGGAAGGUGGGGCUCUGGGGCUUCCAGCAGAUUGAAUCGUCCAUGACUGACCUGGAUGCAUCCUUUGGCCUGACCAGCUCCCCCAUCCCAGGCCUUGAGGGGCGACCAGAGCGCUUACCUCUGGUGCCUGAAUCUCCUCGGAGGAUGAUGACCCGGAGCCAGGAUGCCACUUUCUUCCCAGGCUCAGAGCAGGCUGAAAAGAGCCCUGGUCCCAUUGUCUCUCGAACUCGGAGCUGGGACUCUUCCAGUCCCGUUGACCGUCCUGAGCCAGAGGCUGCUAGCCCCACCACCAGAACUCGCCCAGUGACCCGAAGCAUGGGAACAGGAGACCCCUCUGGCCUGGAGGUACCAU
rnacentral:sRNA from 1 species